CUUAAUCAAAGCCUUUUUGUUUAUAUAGGGUCUUCUGGGAUCUCCAAGCACAUUUGGGCAUCUUUUCCUAUUGUUGCAGUACGAGGGCAUGUGGGGAGGAAUAAAUGGGAGAAGGAAGAACUCAGGUAUCUCAUACUCCAGUCCCAGGGGAGGAAAGGAACUUUUCCCCUGCUCCUUAGAAAAAAAAGAGGAUUGGGUCAAAGACAAGCCAUGCACCAUGUUUAUCUUCCAGUCAGCUGCUGUCAUCGGGAAAUCUCCGCAGUCUGUUGAUUCUUAAUCAGGGAACAAGAGAAGAUGUCCCUCUCUCUCAGAUGAAUCCAUGGCUCCAGGAAAGAGGAAACAGAUAGGAGACUAUGGAUGUUUAGAGAGGAAACACAGUAAACAUAGCCCUGAACCCAGUUCCUCCCCAAUAUUCUCCAUAUGUGAGAAGUGCUCAGGGGUGAGAGAAGAGGAUUCCCAGAAGGAGGCAUGAAACCUGGGAAGAGAAAGGAGUAGAGGCAGCUGUCCCUCCAGAGUGCCUUAGCUGAGAUGUCCUUACAUGAGAUUAGGGUGGACAAGGAUCCCUAUUGUUAUUGAUUAGAUCAUUCUGGUCUUCACUCACUUUAGCAGUCUGGUCCUUAAGAAUGCUAACUUUGUACAAUAAUCUAUUUUUACAGGUAAAAAAUAAAGCUAGUUACAUGGAAUAUAACUUACCCAAAAAAGUACAAUCUCCUGAUUAUUAAUUGGCAGGGAUAGAUUCCCAGUCUCACGCCUUUAAAGCAGAGAAAGACCUUGAUAUCAAGGUAGAUCCCAACUUGAUCUACAUUCAUGGACUACUGGAUUUUGCCUUUUUGAAUACUGGGGAGGCUUUGACUAUCAGAUGAAGGGAAAUAAAAGGAUUUAGGGCUUUGCUGGGUAAGAGGUGGGAGUUUCCCAACUCUCUCAAUGGGAUGUUUUCUGAAGAGGUGAGAAAGGAGGUGUUCCCCCUUUUAAGUGGAAAUAAAGAUCCCCCUGCCCCUUUGGUUAAGGUGGAAAGGGGUUGCUAAGUCUGGAAAUAGGAAAUAGACAUGAUUUAUGUCUUAGGUCUGGGUACUGCUUGGAAAUGGAAACAUGGCAUAUAUACUUGUAUGUAUUUAUCUAACUAUCUAUCUAGAUUCUUCUACUCAACACAUCCUAUUUUUGCCCCUUUACCCUUUUCAUUUCUAAUGAGGACAUCCAAACUUUCUUCAGAGAGACUAGGCCUGGUGUUUUUGACUCUGGAUAAAAAGCCCACACUAAUAUAAUCGUGCAGGGCAAUUGUUUGUUGGGAAGAGCAUUCAAGAAUUAUGUUUCCCACACUAAGACCCUGUCAAAAAUGAAUUCAGAAUCUAAUCUGGAUCAUAUGAACUGAAGAGAGUCUCUUAACUGUGUGAUUUUACCUCUAUCUUCAGGACAAUUUCCCUAAUUAAGCAGACUCAUAAACUGAGGCAUAAGAGAGGGUGAAAGAGGCCAUCUGGAGACGAUGAGUUGGCCAGGAUGAUUUUCAGCAUUUUUAACCCUAAGAGGAAAUUUUUGACUUGACUGUCCACCCUUCUCUGAGAUCAGAGGGCUUUAGGGAAUGGGAAGAAGACCAGAAGAGGUAGAAAUAAUUUUCUAUGUCUUUUGUGAAUCAAGAAAAAUGAUGAGCAGACAUUGGUUUGCCAUCCUCAGCUCAUUUAUUCAUCCAACAACUAUUUCUUGAGUACCUUCUAUGGACCAGGUGGCAUGCUGGAUGCUGAGGAUACAGUCAGUGGUGGAUGAAACAGACAUAGUCCCUGUUCCUACAGAGCUUGUAAUCUGCUUCAACUCCAUCAAGUGGUGUGGAGAGUUGGGAGGCUCUGUAUUCCCUGUUUUGCUACACCCACCCAACUGAUGAAAUUCUACCACUCUGGGUUUCUGCCUCAUUUUUUUCUUUAGGGGGUUAUAUACAUAGGAAAAGCAUAAAUAUGCAUUCUCUUUUUCUCAGGAUAGUACAAACAUCACUCUCUUUUCUCUGCUCCGGUUUCUCUUGGAGUUUUACAUUUUACAGAUAGAACUUCCCCCUCCUUUGGGACAGUAUAGACAUAGUCCCUUUCUCUUCUUCUUUCCCUACAUGGUGCACACUUAGGACCCUCAAAGUCUAGGCUCAAUGUUCUAUGCUGUGGUUCAAGGUCAUUAUAGAUGAGCUGGAGCAGGGACCCCACUGGGGAUUAUUUUUGCUUAUCUUUGUUUCAUCAGAGUCUAGUGUGAUACCUUGAACAUAACAGGCACUCAAUAAAUGCUGUUAAAUAAAGGAAUGAACAAAUGAAAUAGUGAAUAUAUGUACAUAUGUCACGAGGUCCAGUUCUGUCUCUGAUUCUGUGGUGCGUGUAUACCUCCGUGUUUGUUGAGUGGCGGGGGGAGGAGUAGGAAAUGGAGGUGGAGGAAAGGGAGAUGAUGAUGAUGAUGUUUUUUUGAGAGAGUGAUGCUUAAAAGAUAUGGGGUUUAGAGACCUCAGGACAGAGCCUGGAACUGAAGGAGUUACAGAGAGGAUCCAGAAACUGUGGCGUUUGGAUUGUGUGAGAUAUGUUAGGAUGAAAUUGUGAAUGCCUGCCUGACACGUAUACAUAUGUGUUUGGGUAAAGGUUGAUAGGUAUGCUGGGGACAGAGCUCCGUGAAGAUGUGUCUGUUUUUAUAAGUGGCGUGUGUAACAAUAAAUGUGUUGGGAAGGUGUGCACUUACCUGAAUACCUGAAAUUGUCCUAGUUAUGAGAUGAUGUAUGUGUGUAUGUAGGUAAUGGGAUAAUACCUACGUGUGAUCUUGUGUAUGUAUUUGUGACACUCAGAUUUUUUGACAUUCCUGGGGAGAUCCAGUGGGUGGGAGGAAGAAGCUGAGGCUGGAUGCCUCAUUGAUUUAACCCUGCCUUUUGCCUUCUUUUUGUAUAUGCCCCAUGGAGUGAUCUUCUAUGGCUCUUACCAGUUUUGAAUAUCAUGCUGCCAUUUUCCUUUUUCUGUCUAUGGAUGUGGAGCUGCUGUGAAGAUUGCAGCAUAAACUAUGGUUCCCUGGACCUCUGGAGAAAAAGGAGUGUCAUUUUUCUCAUGCCUUGGUAGGGAUAGUUUUUAGUGCUGUCCUCACUGGAUUAGUCCUUCCUUCUCUGCUUCCAGCCAUGGCAAAGGGAAUCUCUCCUUCCUCUGUUUCAUACUGCACUUUUCCAUCAAAUGUCUUCUGUCUCUAUUUCCUCCAUCAACUUUCUCUUGAAUGAGGACUGUGUGGUAUCUCUGGGAAGGUAGAGGGUAGAAAAUUCCUGCCUUAAGUUGAAGGGAAGGUGCAGAGGUAGGGGAUCAAAUUCAGCCCCAAGGAAGAACUUGAUAAACCUCUGGUCAGGAUAGGUGGCUGGAGGGAGGGAAACAGGGAGGCAGAGUGGUGGUAGUAGAAGGGCAUGGGGAAUAAUGGGAGACUUGAGUUCGAGUUCACAUUCUGUUCUAACAAUUACAACUAUGUACUCUUUAAGUCACAUGGUCUCUCUGAGUCUCAGUUCUUCAUUUAAUAUCAUCAUGUAAAAGUAACUUUUAAAUGA